AUUACUUUGUUUAGAAAAAUUAACAUUUUUCUGGUUAUGAUGUAAGACACACAAAUAGCUACUUUGAUUUUUAUUUAACAAAUACAUGAACCAUUCCCCAUGCUCCGAAUAAGUCAUCAUGAGUCUAUAAAAUCUUGUAACUUUUUUUAAUGGUACUUGAGACAGUUUACAUUGUUUUAUAGAACAAAAUACAAUACUUCUAAUUCUCCUCAUACUGCCUUUCAACUCUACGGUGAGAGCUGUGCAUAAAAACAUAGCAGCUUGGGUAGCUCAUGGGUUGCAACAUAAUCUCCGCAUUGGGUUGGGCUGGGGGAUGGCAAGGAAGGCAUUCUAAGAUAUAAGUUCUGAGAAUAAAGAAACAGAGAUUUCCCUCAAGAAAAUUUAUACUUGUCUCCUUUAUAAGCACAGGUCCCAUACAAAAAGUAUUAUCACUGAAUUGCUCUGUCUGACUUAUAAGCUAUAAUUAAGAUUCCAGUCUGAUGUGGAGCAGCUUAAAAUAGCAUCACACACCCUGUUGAUUCUUGCCUAGUUGAAACAGAAACAUAAAUUUGAGGGAAGAAGGUGGAAAUGAUUAUUAUCAAUUCCCCUUUAAUAAUACUGAUAUAGGUAUCCAUGGGCACAGAAAAUUAAGUAAAGUAAGUAUUCCAAAUUAUCUCCCUCUUCAAAUCGCUUAUACCUGAUUUUGGCUGGGCAGAGAUUUACUAAUAAGGAGGUGAGGGUUUACUUCCAGGAAAAGCUAUAAUAGUGAGACAGAAGUUCAGGGCAGAGCAAGCACCAAAUAUAGGGCAGUACAGAUAGUGACCUGCUUGGGACCUAGGAACUAGGUAGCAUGUGGAGUAGCAGGAGGAGAGCCUAGAAGACAAGCGCUUGACCAGUAAAGUGAGAAGACCUGCUCAAUUUAGAGAAGGAUUUGCAAGUAAGAAACAGAACAUUUCUUGAGUAUUUACCUAAUUCUAGGUUGAUACUAGGUACACUUCAUUUAAACCUAACUUUAAAAAGUCAGAAAUAUCCAUCAUUUCACCAAUUCACUCAUAUGGAAACUGAAGCUAUGAGGUUCCCUACCAUAAAUCCCACAUAAUGAAGCUGGGACUCAAACGCCCGCAUAAUUUAAAACUUUGUGCCCUUUUAUGCUAAC
rnacentral:lncRNA from 1 species